AACCCAUGUUGAGGACAUUUCCAUAGGAGCUCCUUGAACCUAUCCCAUGUCUCAAAAAUAGACUCCAAUUCUGUUUGCGUAAAGGAGUAAAUUUCAUUUCUGAGUUU